rnacentral:rRNA from 1 species
GGUGCCCGUACCGCAAACCGACACAGGUAGGUAGGAAGAAGAUUCUAAGGCCAACGGGAGAAGGGUUGUUAAGGAACUCGGCAAAUUGACCCCGUAACUUCGGGAGAAGGGGUGCUCCAGAGAUGGAGCCGCAGAGAAUCGGCCCAAGCAACUGUUUACCAAAAACACAGGUUUGUGCUAAAUCGAAAGAUGACGUAUACGAGCUGACGCCUGCCCGGUGCUGGAAGGUUAAGAGGAGAUGUGCAAGCAUUGAAUCGAAGCCCCAGUGAACGGCGGCCGUAACUAUAACGGUCCUAAGGUAGCGAAAUUCCUUGUCAGGUAAGUUCUGACCCGCAUGAAAGGCGUAAUGAUUUGGGCACUGUCUCAACAGCCCGCCCGGCGAAAUUGUAGUACCGGUGAAGAUGCCGGUUACCCGCGACAAGACGGAAAGACCCCAUGGAGCUUUACUGUAGCCUAAUAUUGGGUUUCGAUGUUGCAUGCACAGGAUAGAUGGGACACUGGGAAGCAGGUGCUUUGGCGCUUGUGGAGUGGCCGUUGGGAUACCAUCCUUGCGAUAUUGGAAUUCUAACCUGCGGCUCUGAAUCGAGUCGGGGGACAUUGUUAGGUGGGCAGUUUGACUGGGGCGGUCGCCUCCUAAAGAGUAACGGAGGCGUUCAAAGGUUCGCUCAGCUUGAACGGAAAUCAAGCAAAAGAGUGCAAACGCAGAAGCGAGCCUAACUGCGAGACUGACGGGUCGAGCAGUAACGAAAGUUGGAGUUAGUGAUCCGGUGGUAUGUGAGUGGAAAUGCCAUCGCUCAACGGAUAAAAGUUACCCUGGGGAUAACAGGCUGAUCUCCCCCAAGAGUCCACAUCGACGGGGAGGUUUGGCACCUCGAUGUCGGCUCAUCGCAUCCUGGGGCUGUAGUAGGUCCCAAGGGUUGGGCUGUUCGCCCAUUAAAGCGGUACGCGAGCUGGGUUCAGAACGUCGUGAGACAGUUCGGUCCCUAUCUGUCGUGGGCGCAGGAUAUUUGAUGGGAGCUGUCCCUAGUACGAGAGGACCGGGACGGACGUACCUCUGGCGCACCAGUUGUUCCGCCAGGAGCAUAGCUGGGCAACUACGUACGGAUCGGAUAAACGCUGAAAGCAUCUAAGCGUGAAGCCGACCCAAAGAUAAGAUAUCCCAUUGUUUCAAACAAGUAAGACCCCUUGAAGACUACAAGGUUGAUAGGCACGAUGUGUAAGUGGAGCGAUCCAUUCAGCAAGCGUGUACUAAUAGGUCGAGGGCUUGACCA